UUAUAUAUAUAAUAUAUAUAUAAAAUAUAUAUAAUAUAUUUUCUUAUAUAUUCUCACAUCAACAUCAAAGUCUUUGUGCCUAUUUACAAACAAGAAUGAAAAAAAAAAAAACAAGAAUGACAUACUAAUCUGUUUCUUGCGGGGGCGGGGGGAGGGCCACCUACAUGAAGAAACAGAAAACAGACCCACCGUCCUCCUCAUGCUCAUUAUGGCAGCUCUCACUGCCACUGGCCUUCACCAAACAGCCCUCUCUUGCCUUCUGAAAAGUAUGGUGCAAAGCCUCUUUAUUUCUUAAAGUACAUUGACACUUAUUUAGUUUUGAGAUUUUUAAAGAAUUUUUCAAAAUCCCUUAUGGUGACUGGAAAUACCCUGGGGUGUUGCAAAUUCAGAGUUGGGGAUUAUUGUGGAAAAGCUAAAGCUAUGCCUGUGUUCUCAACAACCGGUGGAAAACUGCUGCUCUGGUUGUUUUGUCUGUCGAAUAGCUGAUGGUGGUUAUUUUUGCAUCAGAUAGAAUAAGUGGAUCAGACAGAGAGCACGCACACGACAGAUGGUGCUUGUAUUUACAUGACAUCAAAAUAUAUUUGUCUUAAAGAAAACAUCCUGGAACAACAGAAUUGAGCCUGACUCGUUUUAUGUUUUUCCCUGAUUUAACUGUUUGGCUCAGCCCCAGGCAGGCAGCUUAGAAUGGUAGGGAGAGAGUGGGCUUUCGAGUGGACAGAGCUGGAUUGGAAUCUUGGUUCUCUUCUUUGUGUUCUAGGUUGGAAGACGAGAUCAAUGGCAUAAUGCAAAAGAUAAGAAGUGUGACGGUGGCCGUGACCACCAUAAUUACAGAUGUGGGAAGUUGACUUCCUAAGAUCCCAGACACCAGUGGAGAACAGAGUGGCCUGGAGGCCGAGGCAAUUCCUAGCUAGCUAUCUGAGUCUUGGCCUUCAUUCCAGAGAAUCUGGGAGUCCAGGUGCCACUUCAUUAAAGGAAGGAGUGGAAGCCCAGGCUGGAAUAGCCCCCAACCGUUCCCCGGUGAGAUGAAUCAAACCUCCCACUGAGGACAACAGGCUCCAGUACAUAUUCGCUUUUCCAAAUAAAGGCUCUGGAGAACGUCUCCCCA
rnacentral:lncRNA from 12 species